rnacentral:rRNA from 1 species
UUCCGGUUGAUCCCGCCGGACCCCACUGCUAUCGGGAUAGGACUAAGACAUGCUAGUCGAGCGCUUCAAGCCAAAAAGAAGCGCGGCAUACAGCUCAGUAACACGUGGCUAAUCUGCCCUUGGGACCGGAACACCCCCGGGAAACUGGGGCUAAUUCUCGAUAGGUGAAGAACUCUGGAAUGAGUCUUUGCCAAAUAGAUACUUGCGUUAUGCUCGUAAGUGUCGCCCAAGGAUGAGGCCGCGACCGAUCAGGUUGUUGGUGAGGUAAUGGCUCACCAAGCCUUUUACCGGUGCGGGCCGUGAGAGCGGGAGCCCGGAGAUGGGGCACUGAGACAAGGGCCCAGGCCCUAC